GGCGGACGGGUGAGUAACACGUAGGUAAUUUUCCCUUGAGCGGGGGACAACGAUUCGAAAGGAUCGCUAAUACCGCAUACGUUUCCAGAGACCUCGGUCUUUGGAAGGAAAGCUAGGCCGCAAGGUCCGGCACUCGAGGAGAAGCCUGCGUCGCAUCAGCUAGUUGGUGGGGUAACGGCCUACCAAGGCGAAGACGCGUAGCUGGUCUGAGAGGAUGAUCAGCCACACUGGGACUGAGACACGGCCCAGACUCCUACGGGAGGCAGCAGUGGGGAAUAUUGGACAAUGGGCGCAAGCCUGAUCCAGCCACGCCGCGUGAGUGAUGAAGGCCUUCGGGUCGUAAAGCUCUGUGGGGAGGGACGAACCGCUGGAUGUGCAUAGCAUCCAGCAUGACGGUACCUCCUUAGCAAGCACCGGCUAACUUCGUGCCAGCCGCCGCGG
rnacentral:rRNA from 1 species